GGAAUGGGCGUGAAACUGCAUUAGCAGCCACCACACUCACCUUUCCCUCCUUUCUGGGCUGACAUGGCACAGCUGCGGCUGGGAGGUCACAGACCUGCACAAAGGCGAGGGGAGAGCGACUCCUUCCCAUUCCCCUGGCACCAAGCGAGCCUUUCGUGAGGGGAAAUCGAGAUGAGUGGUUCCUGAGGCGAGAGAUGUGGUGUUCCUGAGGCGAGGGGUUCCUAAGGAGAGCGAUGAGGGUUCCUGAGAGUAAGAAGAAAGCUUGGGUAGGGAGAAAACAAAUGGAUGCAGAAAGAAGAGAAUGGGAAAGGAAUGUGAGAGGGGAAAAGGAGCCCUCCAGAUGAAGAAAACAGGAAUAUAUGCUACAGACUGAGAAGAAGGGGUAAAGAGGUGGGGAUUCAUGGCUGAGCAGAAUCAACCACCCUAUCAGUGGGCAGAAGAAGUGGCAGAGGUUUCUCAGUUUUGAUGUAUCUGAGUUUAUAAGAAUUUGGAGUUCCUUGAGCUCUGUAAGAUUUCUGUAUUAAUACUCAUAACUCAUUAAUAAUAAGGAAGGUUUUCAAAUGUUUUUGGGUUUUGUCUGUUAAGUCUUUAUUUCCUGUGACUGCUAACAGAGAUACAGAAUUAUGGGCACUUAGUAUUAUAACUAAAACUUCCUGGAGCCAAACAUAAAUUUCAGGUAGAUGUCCUGAUUGUCUCAGUUGCACAGUAUAUCAGUGAAAAGAAAAAAGCUUUACAGGGCACCUAUAAGCAAGUUACUGCCUGUUUCUGGUGGUUAGUGCUCAGUCCCUUCAGCACUGUUACAAGCAUGUUAAUGGCCCUUAGCACAGAUGAGAUGCAUGCUCAGAAAUAGCAGUUUCAGUAUGCACUGUUGCCAUGGAUUAUUGAGUUGUAUCGAGUGAGUUACUAGUUACAGAUGACUUAAGACAUAAUGCACUGUGAGCAUCAUCAGUGAUGUUAGAUCAUGAUCACAAACGUGGGAGGGAUCUUUGCUACACUUGACAACAGCGUUUUAUAAUGUGUUUGGUGUGAUAUGAAUAUAAAGGUCUACACAAAAUGGCAAUUAAGUUACCUACUUAGAGAUAAUUUCAGGGAGAAGAGAGUAUGAGAUAAAAGUCCAUAUUUAUUUCAGGGAUAUAUGGUAAUCCAGCUUUACAUAACAUAGCAUUUGAGAAAUAGUAACCGUUUGGUGUCUGCAAUUAUGAUAUUUCUUUAAAAGUGAUGAAUUUAGAGCACUGUUGUGUGGCA
rnacentral:lncRNA from 1 species